UUGAGAGUUUGAUCCUGGCUCAGAACGAACGCUGGCGGCAGGCUUAACACAUGCAAGUCGAGCGCCCCGCAAGGGGAGCGGCAGACGGGUGAGUAACGCGUGGGAAUCUACCCUUCUCUACGGAAUAACGCAUGGAAACGUGUGCUAAUACCGUAUACGUCCUUUUGGAGAAAGAUUUAUCGGAGAUGGAUGAGCCCGCGUUGGAUUAGCUAGUUGGUGGGGUAAAGGCCUACCAAGGCGACGAUCCAUAGCUGGUCUGAGAGGAUGAUCAGCCACACUGGGACUGAGACACGGCCCAGACUCCUACGGGAGGCAGCAGUGGGGAAUAUUGGACAAUGGGCGCAAGCCUGAUCCAGCCAUGCCGCGUGAGUGAUGAAGGCCCUAGGGUUGUAAAGCUCUUUCACCGGUGAAGAUAAUGACGGUAACCGGAGAAGAAGCCCCGGCUAACUUCGUGCCAGCAGCCGCGGUAAUACGAAGGGGGCUAGCGUUGUUCGGAUUUACUGGGCGUAAAGCGCACGUAGGCGGACUAUUAAGUCAGGGGUGAAAUCCCGGGGCUCAACCCCGGAACUGCCUUUGAUACUGGUAGUCUUGAGUUCGAGAGAGGUGAGUGGAAUUCCGAGUGUAGAGGUGAAAUUCGUAGAUAUUCGGAGGAACACCAGUGGCGAAGGCGGCUCACUGGCUCGAUACUGACGCUGAGGUGCGAAAGCGUGGAG
rnacentral:rRNA from 1 species